rnacentral:rRNA from 1 species
AGCAGCCGCGGUAAUUCCAGCUCCAAUAGCGUAUAUUAAAGUUGUUGCAGUUAAAAAGCUCGUAGUUGAAUUUCGGGGUCAGUAGGUUGGUCGUGCCACAGGUAUGAACUGGCCUCACUGAUUCCUCCUUCCUGAUGAACCGUAAUGCCAUUAAUUUGGCGUUGCGGGGAGACUGGACUGUUACUUUGAAAAAUUAGAGUGUUUAAAGCAGGCUAACGCUCGAAUACAUUAGCAUGGAAUAAUGAAAUAGGACGUUCGAUCCUAUUUUGUUGGUUUCUAGGAUUUGACGUAAUGAUUAAUAGGGAUAGUUGGGGGCAUUAGUAUUCAAUUGUCAGAGGUGAAAUUCUUGGAUUUAUUGAAGACUAACUACUGCGAAAGCAUUUGC